rnacentral:rRNA from 1 species
GAUGAACGCUAGCUACAGGCUUAACACAUGCAAGUCGAGGGGAAACGACAUCGAAAGCUUGCUUUUGAUGGGCGUCGACCGGCGCACGGGUGAGUAACGCGUAUCCAACCUGCCCACCACUUGGGGAUAACCUUGCGAAAGUAAGACUAAUACCCAAUGAUAUCCCACGAAGGCAUCCGAAUGGGAUUAAAGAUUUAUCGGUGAUGGAUGGGGAUGCGUCUGAUUAGCUUGUUGGCGGGGUAACGGCCCACCAAGGCAACGAUCAGUAGGGGUUCUGAGAGGAAGGUCCCCCACAUUGGAACUGAGACACGGUCCAAACUCCUACGGGAGGCAGCAGUGAGGAAUAUUGGUCAAUGGGCGGAAGCCUGAACCAGCCAAGUAGCGUGCAGGAAGACGGCCCUAUGGGUUGUAAACUGCUUUCAGUCGGGAAUAAUUCGUCGGUCGUGACCGACGUUGCAGGUACCGUCAUAAGAAGGACCGGCUAAUUCCGUG